AGUGAACGCUGGCGGUAGGCCUAACACAUGCAAGUCGAACGGCAGCACAGUAAUAGCUUGCUCUUACGGUUGGCGAGUGGCGGACGGGUGAGGAAUACAUCGGAAUCUACUUUUUCGUGGGGGAUAACGUAGGGAAACUUACGCUAAUACCGCAUACGACCUACGGGUGAAAUCAGGGGAUCUUCGGACCUUGCGCGAUUGAAUGAGCCGAUGUCGGAUUAGCUAGUUGGCGGGGUAAAGGCCCACCAAGGCGACGAUCCGUAGCUGGUCUGAGAGGAUGAUCAGCCACACUGGAACUGAGACACGGUCCAGACUCCUACGGGAGGCAGCAGUGGGGAAUAUUGGACAAUGGGCGCAAGCCUGAUCCAGCCAUACCGCGUGGGUGAAGAAGGCCUUCGGGUUGUAAAGCCCUUUUGUUGGGAAAGAAAAGCAGCAGGUUAAUACCCCGCUGUUCUGACGGUACCAAAAGAAUAAGCACCGGCUAACUUCGUG
rnacentral:rRNA from 1 species